rnacentral:rRNA from 1 species
CGAACGCUGGCGGCGUGCUUAACACAUGCAAGUCGAACGCGAAAGGGACUUCGGUCCUGAGUAAAGUGGCGCACGGGUGAGUAACGCGUAGAUAACCUGUCUUCAUGUCUGGAAUAAUACGCCGAAAGGGGUACUAAUACCGGAUAUUCUUGCUUUUCAUAAGUUAUGCAAGCAAAGGUGGCCUCUGCAUAUGCUACUGCAUGAAGAGGGGUCUGCGUACCAUUAGCUAGUAGGUGGGUAAUGGCCUACCUAGGCGACGAUGGUUAGCGGGUCUGAGAGGAUGAUCCGCCACACUGGCACUGGAACACGGGCCAGACUCCUACGGGAGGCAGCAGUGAGGAAUAUUGCGCAAUGGGGGAAACCCUGACGCAGCGACGCCGCGUGAGUGAAGGAAGGCCUUCGGGUCGUAAAGCUCUGUCAAGAGGAAAGAAGUGUACAAUGGCUAAUACCUGUUGUAUUUGACGGUACCUCUAAAGGAAGCACCGACUAACUCCGUGCCAGCCGCUGC